UCUCUUAGGCCCGAUAUUCUUCUUGGGAUUGGUUGUAAAAAGACUCUCCAUCCUCCUAUAAAUACCCCCACCCUCGCCUUUCUCCUUCCUAUGCCUAUGCGCAGCAAAUCCCAACUCUUAUCUCUUCCUCUCCCACAAAUCUUGCCUUCUUUUUUUUCUUUCUUUCUUUUCCUUCUAGGGUUUUUUAGAUGGAGGCCUCUUUGUUUUCGUGUCCUAUGCAUAUGGUAAUGCUUAUAUGAAUGACCCUCUUCGUAUUCUUCCACAGCUUUCUUGAACUGCAUCUCUACUACGAACUGGUGGUUGUUGCAUGCCACGGCUGGCCAAUUAAGCGGCUUCUUGCUUCUUGUUUUGUUGCGGUUCAAUAAAGCUGUGGGAAGAUACUAACAGGGUCAAGGAAGCUGCUCUUUGUCCGAUUCCAUUUCCUUUGUUCUUGAUAUUACAUUCCUUUGAGGAUCAACUAAGUUGCCAUUUAUCAUUGGUGUGUACUCUCACAUCAUAUAAAAGACCACAAGCCUUUCAGUUUGUGGCUAUGAACAAAUUAUACAUAUUAUAUUCAUAUUUCAUCUCAAAAGCGACGUGACUGAUCCAUUUUCCCCACCACAUGGAACCGGCAAUAUUAUUGCUUGAUUGCUUCCUUCUGCUAUUUCCCUUUCAGUUGUCCAUAGUUUUUUUAUCCAAUGUUGCAAGAUAUUUCUUUCCCCAGCUAGCUAUCAUUUGAGCAAUUAAGAGUCCCUUUAGUGUUGAUGAAUGAUAGGCUCAGAAACGGCCAGGUCCCUCGAAGACAUAUAUGUCGAAUGCUGUCUGUGUUUUGGCUUAAAUGCAAUGCCAAGUGUUAAUGGAAGAUUAACUGAUCAUGAAUUUAAGCACUCAAGCUUAGAGCUUCUAAUUUGAUAUGGAUGAACUGUGUAAAAUUUUGUGGAAUCAUUCACAAAUCCACUCUUGUUAUAUGUUUGGUAUACAUAAAAAAAUUUAUUUGCAUUUUA